UACGAGUGGUGCAAGCGUUGUUCGGAAUCACUGGGCAUAAAGCGCGCGCAGGCGGCGACGCAAGUCAACUGUGAAAUCCCCCGGCUCAACCGGGGAACUGCAGCUGAUACUAUGUCGCUAGAGUGUGGGAGGGGAGAGCGGAAUUCCUGGUGGAGCGGUGAAAUGCGUAGAUAUCAGGAGGAACGCCGGAGGCGGAAGCGGCUCUCUGGUCCACUACUGACGCUGAGGCGCGAAAGCUAGGGGAGCAAACAGG
rnacentral:rRNA from 1 species